rnacentral:rRNA from 1 species
UACGUAGGGGGCGAGCGUUGUCCGGAAUUAUUGGGCGUAAAGAGCGUGUAGGCGGUUCGGUAAGUCUGCCGUGAAAACCUGGGGCUCAACCCUGGGCGUGCGGUGGAUACUGCCGGGCUAGAGGGUGGUAGAGGCGAGUGGAAUUCCCGGUGUAGCGGUGAAAUGCGCAGAUAUCGGGAGGAACACCAGUAGCGAAGGCGGCUCGCUGGGCCAUUCCUGACGCUGAGACGCGAAAGCUAGGG